AACUAGCUAACUGGAAUCAUGAGGUGUCACUCGUGAUAAGGUAAAGGAAAAAUUAUGAUGUCACUUUACUAUUAGUGUUGUCCAAAGCUGGUGCCAGAAGACUCGGUAAGGCCAGAGACGCAAGCGUUAGUCAUCCUGAUCAGGCGUAAAGGGUUUGUAGGCAGCUUUAAAUUAAUUAAAGAUAGAAUCAUAUAGAGGUCACAGUCAGAUAAUUCUUAGAGUAGGGUUGAUAUCUGUAGAUACUAAGAGGAAUACUUAUUAGCGAAGGCACUUUUCCAAAUUAUGAUUGACGCUGAGAAACGAAGGGGAGGAUAGAUAAUAGGAUUAGAUACCCUGGUAUUCCCUCUGUCAACGAUGAAUGGUAGUUGCUAGUAUACUAUAUUAGUGGCGAUGCUACGCGUUAACCAUCCGCCUUGUGAGUACGAUUGCAAAAUUGAAAACAAAAAAAUUAGUCGGUUUCGGAGCAAACGAAGUGAAG
rnacentral:rRNA from 1 species